GUGUUCACUUUUGCAGCACAUAAACUAAAAUUGGAACAAUGCAUGAUUAGCAUGGCCCUUGUACAAGGUAAAAAUAUUUGUCAUGUGUAUGACAUGUCU
ensembl:snRNA U6 U6 spliceosomal RNA